rnacentral:rRNA from 1 species
UGGGGAAUUUUGGACAAUGGGCGCAAGCCUGAUCCAGCCAUGCCGCGUGCAGGAUGAAGGCCUUCGGGUUGUAAACUGCUUUUGUACGGAACGAAAAGGUGCCUUCUAAUAAAGGGCGCUCAUGACGGUACCGUAAGAAUAAGCACCGGCUAACUACAUGCCAGCAGCCGCGGUAAUACGUAGGGUGCGAGCGUUAAUCGGAAUUACUGGGAGUAAAGCGUGCGCAGGCGGUUUUGUAAGACAGAGGUGAAAUCCCCGGGCUCAACCUGGGAACUGCCUUUGUGACUGCAAGGCUGGAGUGCGGCAGAGGGGGAUGGAAUUCCGCGUGUAGCAGUGAAAUGCGUAGAUAUGCGGAGGAACACCGAUGGCGAAGGCAAUCCCCUGGGCCUGCACUGACGCUCAUGCACGAAAGCGUGGGGAGCAAACA